GACGAACGCUGGCGGCGUGCUUAACACAUGCAAGUCGAACGGAAAGGCCCUGCUUUUGUGGGGUGCUCGAGUGGCGAACGGGUGAGUAACACGUGAGUAACCUGCCCUUGACUUUGGGAUAACUUCAGGAAACUGGGGCUAAUACCGGAUAGGAGCUCCUGCUGCAUGGUGGGGGUUGGAAAGUUUCGGCGGUUGGGGAUGGACUCGCGGCUUAUCAGCUUGUUGGUGGGGUAGUGGCUUACCAAGGCUUUGACGAGUAGCCGGCCUGAGAGGGUGACCGGCCACAUUGGGACUGAGAUACGGCCCAGACUCCUACGGGAGGCAGCAGUGGGGAAUAUUGCACAAUGGGCGGAAGCCUGAUGCAGCAACGCCGCAUGCGGGAUGACGGCCUUCGGGUUGUAAACCGCUUUCGCCUGUGACGAAGCGUGAGUGACGGUAAUGGGUAAAGAAGCACCGGCUAACUACGU
rnacentral:rRNA from 1 species